CAAAGCUCUUCAUAAAAUCUCAACAGUUGGUGUGUAGCAGAGAGGAUAAAGAGACUGACUUGUAACCAGGGGCGUAGCCACGGUUUAAAUCCCCAUUCAGCCUAUUGUUGUUGGCCAACUACAUGAAGUAGUUUUGCUCUCUUGUCCAACUCUUGAUCUUGUACAAUAUACAUUUUUAUAAUAUUUUCCCAUCUUGCGGAGGAACCCGCAUCGCUACUUGCAGCUAUAUUUA